AACGGAGUAGAGUAAAUUGGUUAACUCAUUAGGCUCAUGAUCUAAAGUUAUAGGUUCGAAUCCCAUCUCCGUAA
rnacentral:tRNA from 1 species